rnacentral:tRNA from 1 species
AUAACAAUACCUGAAAAGAGGGUCACGGUGAACAUGAAGUUUAACCUUUUGUUGUA